AUUGAACGCUGGCGGCAUGCCUUACACAUGCAAGUCGAACGGCAGCACGGGUGCUUGCACCUGGUGGUGAGUGGCGAACGGGUGAGUAAUACAUCGGAACGUACCUUAUCGUGGGGGAUAACGCAGCGAAAGUUGCGCUAAUACCGCAUACGCCCUGAGGGGGAAAGCGGGGGACCGUAAGGCCUCGCGCGAUUAGAGCGGCCGAUGACUGAUUAGCUUGUUGGUGAGGUAAAAGCUCACCAAGGCGAUGAUCAGUAGCUGGUCUGAGAGGACGAUCAGCCACACUGGGACUAAGACACGGCCCAGACUCCUACGGGAGGCAGCAGUGGGGAAUUUUGGACAAUGGGGGCAACCCUGAUCCAGCAAUGCCGCGUGAGUGAAGAAGGCCUUCGGGUUGUAAAGCUCUUUUGUCAGGGAAGAAACAGCAGCUCUAACACAGUCUGCGAAUGACGGUACCUGAAGAAUAAGCACCGGCUAACUACGUGCCAGCAGCCGCGGUAA
rnacentral:rRNA from 1 species